rnacentral:rRNA from 1 species
UACGUAGGGGGCAAGCGUUGUCCGGAAUUAUUGGGCGUAAAGCGCGCGCAGGCGGUCCUUUAAGUCUGAUGUGAAAGCCCACGGCUCAACCGUGGAGGGUCAUUGGAAACUGGGGGACUUGAGUGCAGGAGAGAAGAGUGGAAUUCCACGUGUAGCGGUGAAAUGCGUAGAGAUGUGGAGGAACACCCGUGGCGAAGGCGGCUCUCUGGGACGGUACUGACGCUGAGACGCGAAAGCGUGGGGAGCGAACAGG